rfam:Pongo abelii chromosome 7.
GGGGGUAUAGCUCACAGGUAGAGCAUUUGACUGCAGAUCAAGAGGUCCGCGGUUCAAAUCCGGGUACCCCUG